rnacentral:rRNA from 1 species
CCCUUAGAUGUUCUGGGCGGCCCGCGCACUACAAUGGCGCUUUCAGCGAGUUCCUAUGUUGAAUUUUCCUGGGUAUUCUUGGAAGCGGCGUCUUGACUUGGGAUAGAUCCUUGUAAUUGUUGGUUUUGAACGAGGAAUUCCUUGUAAUCGCGGUUGAUCAGCUCACGUUGAAUACGUCCCUGCCCUUUGUACACACCGCCCGUCGCUCCUACCGAUGAAUCGUCCGGUGAAGUUCACAGAGUGGCGGUUCGUGGAGUUGCUCGCGAAGUGAAAUGGACCUCACGAUUUAGAGGAAGGAGAAGUCGUAACA